rnacentral:rRNA from 1 species
GACGAACGGUGGCGUGCUUAACACAUGCAAGUCGAACGGAAAGGCCCUGCUUUUGUGGGGUGCUCGAGUGGCGAACGGGUGAGUAACACGUGAGUAACCUGCCCUUGACUUUGGGAUAACUUCAGGAAACUGGGGCUAAUACCGGAUAGGAGCUCCUGCUGCAUGGUGGGGGUUGGAAAGUUUCGGCGGUUGGGGAUGGACUCGCGGCUUAUCAGCUUGUUGGUGGGGUAGUGGCUUACCAAGGCUUUGACGGGUAGCCGGCCUGAGAGGGUGACCGGCCACAUUGGGACUGAGAUACGGCCCAGACUCCUACGGGAGGCAGCAGUGGGGAAUAUUGCACAAUGGGCGGAAGCCUGAUGCAGCAACGCCGCGUGCGGGAUGACGGCCUUCGGGUUGUAAACCGCUUUCGCCUGUGACGAAGCGUGAGUGACGGUAAUGGGUAAAGAAGCACCGGCUAACUACGUG